UUGACCUCGGAUCAGGUAGGACUACCCGCUGAACUUAAGCAUAUCAAUAAGCGGAGGAAAAGAAACCAACAGGGAUUGCCCCAGUAACGGCGAGUGAAGCGGCAACAGCUCAGAUUUGGAAUCUGGCCUUCGGGCCCGAGUUGUAAUCUGGAGAGGAUGUUUCUGGCGCGGUGCCUUCCGAGUUCCCUGGAACGGGACGCCGGAGAGGGUGAGAGCCCCGUACGGUUGGACACCUAGCCUUUGUGAAACUCCUUCGACGAGUCGAGUAGUUUGGGAAUGCUGCUCAAAAUGGGAGGUAAAUUUCUUCUAAAGCUAAAUAUUGGCCAGAGACCGAUAGCGCACAAGUAGAGUGAUCGAAAGAUGAAAAGCACUUUGAAAAGAGGGUUAAAAAGUACGUGAAAUUGUUGAAAGGGAAG
rnacentral:rRNA from 3 species